UCGGGAAAGAACCUGCCUUCAAACAUUUAACUAAUAAAUUAGUGAUACAAUACAAAUUUAAACUGCCUUAUACGGCUUUUUACUUGACUCAUAGUAUAAACAAAAACCGAUAUCACAACGACACCAAAAACUGGUUUUUCUACUGUUAAAAAAUAUGCGUAAACAUUUUUACAUUUAGCCACGAGGCGGCGCUUUUAGCGGGCUGAAGUUGCCUCCAUUCAACGGCAUGAGUCGAUCGGAUCGUCUCACCCGUUCGAUGAAGCUGUGCAAAUAAUAUAACACAAUAUUGAAUGCACAAUGUGCAUAAAAUACUCAGUGAAAUUGUUCUUUACAAGUCACAAUUUAGUAUAAACAAUGAAAGUGAAGUGUUUUAGUUUAUUUAUCAUAGUUCUUGUGAUAUUAGGUUUAAGUUUACAAGGAUCCGAUGCAGCCGUAAAGAAGAAACGAACAUGCAGAUAUGAUUGCACAGAGCUCUGCCAACUCCAGGGGACAAGUCACGGGACCUGUCUAGGGUCUAUAUGCAAGUGUUCCACACUGAACGCCAUAGUCGAAGAACUACAUGACCGUGACACUUAAGGAGAAAUAAAUAUUUGAGUACA